rnacentral:lncRNA from 1 species
GGGGUGUCGUUUUUGUUGUUGUUGAAUUGCAGACUGCCCCGUUAAGAGAACGAAGUUGGUUGGCCAGGAGGGGUCCGCCAGUCACCAGGGCAUUUCAGCAGUCGAUGUGACCAAGCCCCUUUAAAACAUUACGCAUAUCGGGGGCUGGUUUAUCUAGGGCUGUCGUGAGGUAAUCUAUCCAUUCUCGCCGGGCAGGCCGACAUGUGGUAAUCGUAGAAAGCGCACACUGCAAUAUGAGAAAAAAGCAAUAACAAUAAGAGCGCGCACGAGUUGCUUUUAAGCCGGGAAAUGUACAUGGAACAUUGCAGAUUUUACUAAAGCUAAAGAUUGUUUGAUCUCGUGAAACAACCUUAAACCAGCAGAAAACUAAUACUAACCAAACGCAAGUUUGAACGACAAUGGAAUUUGGGUUCUUCUGACCCCUGGGAACCGUUGUGAUUUGCCUGGAUUUAAAAGCACAAGUUGCUGACAAAUUGGAUAAACUUGCCCCCCAAUUCGGCCAGCCGACGGUACUGAACUCACUUUCCUUGUAUCCAGAACGAAACGGCGGGUCGUGGAAUUUAACCUGAUUUAUAAGAAUUGAAGGGCUGCAUCUCAAUAGUUUAAAGUGGCUUCAUCUCCUCGCCCCCUUUCCUUCAUCUGCACUGAUGUGAACGAGCUGAACAGGUGAACACUAUAUCCCAGAUACUGCUGCCCAGUGACUAGGUGUGUGCUGUCACAGAUACAGUGCCUUCAUAAAGUAUUCACACCACUUGACUUUUUCCACAUUUUGUUGUGUUACAGCCUGAAUUUAAAAUGUUUUAAAUUAUACUUUUUUUCCGUCACUGGCCUAUACACAAAAAAUACCCCAUAAUGUCAAAGUGGAUUUAUGUUUAAAAAUGUGUUUUUACAAAUUUACUAAAAAUGAAAACCUGAAAUGUCUUGAGUCUAAUUAUUCAACCCUUCUGUUAUAGC